rnacentral:sRNA from 1 species
AGCAACACGAUAGGUUGGUACAGGGGGU